rnacentral:lncRNA from 1 species
GAAAAGCAAGAAAAUAUUGUAAAUUUAUUAAAAGGAGAAAAAUGAAUUUUAAUCCUCCCUAUUAAAAUUGAAUAUCUUUUUUAAUCAUAAAACCUUCAUCCUCUGUUUUUCCAGCUCUUCAUCAUCUUCCCCAAAAACUAUACACUUACAGCCAUUUUUAUUCUAUUUCAAUCCUCAAGAAUCAAACGAAAAUGGAGGUUUUAACAGAUCAUACGGAGCCCAAAGAGCAUCUAAAGGACAAGGUCGAUUAGCAUCAAGUCUAGCCCAAGGUUUCCCUUUUCCACUCCAAUGCAAUAAACUUACUGGACCAGGAUGUAAAUCUCUACAAAGCCCGCGAAAAUUAUCUCCACCUAACCCAUGUUGAUUCCACCGGUGAUCCACCGGAGCUAUAUUCCCGGCGAACACAAGUAAAAACGGCGGCAAUGAACCCAACUCAUAAAUUCUCAUUCUUUUUUGUAAUUCCAUCCAUUCUUCAAUUUUAUUCGUAUAAUCACCUUUUCUCCAACGAUCGAGGUCGAUUACCAUUACUCCCGUGUUAAAAUAACAAGCUUUACGAUCCGCAAACGUUAAAGAAAGUGAUGGGUUUGACCAAAAAGUUGGUGUAAAGAUCGAUCAGCAUUACUCCCGUGUUAAAAUAACAAGCUUUCCGAUCCGCAAAUGUUAAGGAAAGUGAUGGGUUUGACCAAAAAGUUGGUGUAAAAUAUGAAGUGAAAUUUGCGUUACAAUAUUCUGGGGCGGCGAGGAUUU